rnacentral:misc_RNA from 1 species
GAAAUGCAAUAGUACAGCGAGAACAACCACUAUGAAGUAAUAUGUGACCUGAAAGGGUGACUAGUAUUUCUUCUCAGUUGGAUUUGAACACGUUGUUGUUGUUUGAAAGCCUGGUGGUUCUGCUUCAAAAGUUCGAGUAACGCCGAACAAAAAUCUCAAUCUCAAAUCAGGUAGGAUUACCCGCUGAACUUAA